GAUGAACGCUAGCUACAGGCUUAACACAUGCAAGUCGAGGGGCAGCAUGAAGUUUGCUUGCAAACUUUGAUGGCGACCGGCGGAUGGGUGAGUAACGCGUAUCCAACCUGCCCCCUUCCCGGGCACAGCCCUUGGAAACGAGGAUUAACUCCCGAUGGCGUCGCCUUAACGCAUGUUUCGGCGACCAAAUGUUUAAGGAAGGGGAUGGGGAUGCGUCCCAUUAGCUUGUUGGCGGGGUAACGGCCCACCAAGGCUCCGAUGGGUAGGGGUUCUGAGAGGAAGGGCCCCCACACUGGAACUGAGACACGGUCCAGACUCCUACGGGAGGCAGCAGUGAGGAAUAUUGGUCAAUGGAGGCAACUCUGAACCAGCCAAGUAGCGUGAGGGACGACUGCCCUACGGGUUGUAAACCUCUUUUGUCGGGGAAUAAACCGCGCCACGUGUGGCGCUCUGCAUGUACCCGCAGAAUAAGGACCGGCUAAUUCCGUGCCAGCCGCCGCGGUAAGAC
rnacentral:rRNA from 1 species